rnacentral:rRNA from 1 species
UACACGGGGAACAAGCGUUAUUCACCCUCAAUAGGUCUAAAGGGGUUGUAGGCUGCACGGAAUAAGGAAGAUAGGCUAACUUGCUCUAAAGGCCCAAUAGCUAUCUUUACCUAUGGGCUAGAGUGCCAUGCAGGAAGCAGGAACACUAGGAGUAGGGAUGGAAUCCGCUGAUAUCUAGUGGAAGCACUAAUGGUGAAGACAUGCUUCUGGCUAUGCACUGACGCUGAGAACCGAAAGCAUGGGUAGCGAAUAGG